GUGAGGAAUUUUCCGCAAUGGGCGAAAGCCUGACGGAGCAAUGCCGCGUGAAGGAUGAAGGCCUAUGGGUUGUAAACUUCUUUUCUCAGAAAAGAAUUAUGACGGUAUCUGAGGAAUAAGCAUCGGCUAACUCUGUGCCAGCAGCCGCGGUAAGACAGAGGAUGCAAGCGUUAUCCGGAAUGAUUGGGCGUAAAGCGUCUGUAGGUUGUUUAAAAAGUAUUCUGUCAAAGAUUAGGGCUUAACCCUAGAUAGGCAGAAUAAACUUUUAAGCUAGAGUUUGGUAGAGGCAGAGGGAAUUGACGGUGGAGCGGUGAAAUGCGUAAAUAUCGGGAGGAACACCAAAGGCGAAGGCACUCUGCUGGGCCAAUACUAACACUGAGAGACGAAAGCGAGGGGAGCAAAAGGGAUUAGAAACCCCAGUAGUCC
rnacentral:rRNA from 1 species